rnacentral:lncRNA from 1 species
UUGGUCACCAUGGUUUUGUUGAGAUUGUCAAUCAUAUUAUGUGUGAUGUUAUAUGGUCCUUCUCUUUCAGGAGCUGCUUCUCCUAAGAACAUAUUCAUCCUCGCAGGUCAGAGUAACAUGGCUGGUCGAGGUGGAGUUGAGAACAAUGCUCAAGGAAAUCUCCAGUGGGAUGGGUUAGUCCCACCAGAAUGUCAACCUCAACCAUCCAUCCUACGAUUGAACCCUGGUCUCCAAUGGGAGAUAGCACGAGAGCCACUCCAUUUGGGAAUUGACAUCAAAAGGACCCCUGGAAUUGGUCCCGGUAUCGCAUUUGCUCAUGAAUUGCUAGUCAAAGCUGGACCAAAUGCUGGCGCUGUGGGUUUAGUUCCAUGUGCUAGAGGUGGCACUUUAAUUGAACAAUGGAUUAAAAAUCCUAGCAAUCCUAGUGCAACCUUUUACCAAAACUUCAUUGAACGAAUCAAAGCAUCGGAUAAAGAUGGUGGGGUUGUGCGUGCUCUUUUCUGGUUCCAAGGAGAAAGUGAUGCAGCUAUGAAUGACACUGCCAUUAGAUACAAAGACAACCUAAAGAAAUUCUUCACUGACAUUCGUGAUGACAUAAAACCUAGAUUUUUGCCCAUCAUUGUUGUUAAAAUAGCUCUCUACGACUUUUUUAGGCAGCACGAUACUCAUAACCUCCCAGCAGUGAGGGAAGCACAAGAAGCAGUCAGCAAGGAGCUGCCUAACGUGGUGGCCAUCGAUUCGUUGAAAUUACCUAUAAACUAUACAACAAAUGAAGGCAUCAACCUAGAUCAUGGUCAUUUUAACACCACAACCGAAAUUACUUUGGGUAAAUGGUUGGCUGAAACCUACCUCUCCCACUUUGGUCAAUUACUUUAAUUUGUAUUAUUUAUCAACUUUGUUAUUAUAUAUCAAUAAAAUCAUCCAUCCACUCCUUUUAUUUAAAAUCUCCUUCCAAUUGACUCUCAACAUAAAAUAAUCAGUGGAAAUAAUUUCAUACUCAAAUCUCUAAUGAAUCAUCUUUGCAUCAUUAUCUUCUACACUAACACUUGGGAGAGGCGAAAAAGAGAGUUUGGGGGCAAAAGAAAAAACAAAUUCGACCCAAAAUUUUACAUUAAUUUUUCUUUAUGAUUAUACCUUUCACAAUCAAAAUGGCUCAACUGAAUUUAACUGUUUCCUGACUUCCUACAAUAACAUAUUUAUUUAAUUUUUUAAUACUUUUUUCUCAUUUAAAAACAAAUGUAUUUUCCAUUAACGUCAAUCAUAUCACUAAUAAAAUUUAAAAAGGGAAAAUAUCAUUUGUUUCUUGAGGUAUUUUAAAAAAUAUAAAAAAAAUAUUUACACUAAUUUAAAAACCAUUCACAAUGAAAAUAUUAAAAAAUGCACUUAUUAAUUGACAUCGUUUAAAUUUGGUUAUUUUUUUAAAAUUUUUUUUUUUAUAUAAGGUUGUUUAAAAGAAAAAUUGGUAUACACUAUCGUUUAUAUUUAAUGGUUCAAAUUUGGCCACUCAAAUCUAAAGGGUCUUUUUAGAAUCUUUAGUACAUAUAUUUAGAUUUAAUUAUUAUUUUUUUUUUUGGUUUAGAUUUGGUCUAAUGUCCCAACAAUUUUUUUCAUUAUCUUUUAUAUUUGCACACGAUUUUAAACAACCAAACAAUGGUUUUUAAAAAUAAAAGAAAAUUAAAAAAAAAAAAAGAGAAAAAGACUUGAAAAGAAGAAGAAAAAUAGUUGAAGGGAAAGAGAAGAAAUAUUUUUGUAUAUAAUCAUAUUAUUCAUUUUGUUCCACGGCCCACAAAUAUUUUGUCGAUUUGUUGAAAAUUAAAUCUGUUUCUUUUUAAACAGUGAUAAACAUAACAUAUCUAAUUAAUUAAUUUAAUCUAAUAAAAAGUGAUUGAGAUCAUUCUAAAAUAGUAAAAUGGAUGAAGAAAUAAACGAAGAAAAAAAUGGAUGGAUAGAAGAGAGUAAAGAGAAAGAGAAGAGACGGAGUGCUUGAGAAUGAGAGCGAAUUGGAAACCGUUUUAUCUUUUUGUUUGGCGCUUGCAGAUAUAACAAAAUUAGUUUUAGAAAUUAGGCCCAUAAAACACACUUUUGAAUUUGCAAAAAUGACAAAAUUCAAGUCAGUCCACAUUUGAAAAAUGUAAAAUUACAAACCUUCCCUCGAAUUGUAAACAUUUUCACACAUCAUUUGAUAUGUUGUUGAUACACUUGGUAUGUUUUUUAUAUAUUUGUUAUGCUUGUUGAUACACUCGAUCAAUUAAAUAACACUUGAUGCAUAUAAUUGGUUUGAUACACUUAUAUGUUGUUGAUACAUUUGUUAAACUUUGCAAAUACACUCAAUUAAUUAAAUACAUUGAUGCACUAAGUAUAAUACUUUUGUUGUAUUGUCGAUACAUUUAUUAAAGGGACACUUGCAAAAAUGACAAAAUAAGUUAUAAUAAUUAAAUCCAUAACACAUAUACUUUAUUAUUUGCAAAAAUGACAAAAACGAAGCCCAAUCCACACAUCAAAAAGUAAAAUGUCACAAAUGUCUUCGUUACUAAUAUACGUUUGAUACACCUUAUACUGAUACACCUAAUACCGUUUGAUACAUCUGAUACUUCUUGAUACACCCGAUACAGUUGAUUGAUAUACUUGAUGCACUUAAUGCACUUGAUACUUUUUGAUAAACUUGAUACCUUUUAAUAGACACCUGAAACUUAUGUUUGAUACACCUGAUGCACUGCAUAUACAUUUAGUAUUCUUCACUUAUGCAAUUGAUUGAUUAAAUGCACUUGAUAUGCUUGAAGUCCUACUUAUACACUUGAUAUACUAUUGUUAUACACUUGUAAACUUGGUUCAUAUACUUAAUAAUGAUUUACUUUGCUGAUAUGCUUUAACAAUAUAUUGUUGAUAAACUUGAUAAUGAUACACUAAGUUACAUCAUUCAUAUACUUAAUAAUACUCUAAUAAACUGCAUAAAAUUUAAAAAAUUGAAAAAUCAUGUAGUAAGUAUAUUAACCAACUAAUACAUAUAAUAUAAGUAUAUUAGAACAGAACACUGAUAUACAAAACUGAGACAAAGUUAAACCAAAACAAAAUUAAUGUAAAAAAAUAGAACAAAAUGAUUUAGAAUCAGAUUGUUGUACUAUGGAAAAAAGUAAAAAAAAAUCACAAAUGAAGUUAAAUUACUCUAAUCAACAACUAUUAUGUUUUAUAUUGUAAUUGUUGUACUAUUGAUAUUCUAAAAUUAAGAUUAAGACAUAAAUAAUAAAUAAUUUUUAUAGUAUAAGAAUAAAAAAAUAAUUAGAGCCUUACAAAGUGGGAGAAUAAAUAAAUAAUGGAUAGGACAUUAAAAAUAGGAAAAUAAAUAAGUUAUUGAAUGAUAGUUUAAAAAUAAUAACAAAUUUAAAAUUGAGAAGCGAGAAGUUUGUUAUAUUUGCAAAAUUCUAAAAUUAUAAUUGCUAUAUUAUAAAAUGUUCAUAUAGAAAUUUCCCAAAUUGAGGGUUAAAAGCGCAAAAUGCUCAUAAUCCACAAGUACUCACCUAUAAAAGUGAUCUUUAAAACUAACCGUACUAAAAAUAGAGUAAAAAAUAGUAUAAAAGGUGGGGUAAUAACAUAGAGAAAGGCAGAGGCAAGGAUCAGCCAACCAAACUAAGGGGGGAGUAACUAAAGCAAGAGAGUAGUUGUGUGUCUGUGCAAAUAGACACAAGAGGAAAAGUUAUCCUUUUUUUAAAAACCGUGCACAUUGUUUAUACUUUUCUUCUGUGUUUAUUUGUACAGACACAACAGACACAAAUUGGUCACCAUGGUUUUGUUGAGAUUGUCAAUCAUAUUAUGUGUGAUGUUAUAUGGUCCUUCUCUUUCAGGAGCUGCUUCUCCUAAGAACAUAUUCAUCCUCGCAGGUCAGAGUAACAUGGCUGGUCGAGGUGGAGUUGAGAACAAUGCUCAAGGAAAUCUCCAGUGGGAUGGGUUAGUCCCACCAGAAUGUCAACCUCAACCAUCCAUCCUACGAUUGAACCCUGGUCUCCAAUGGGAGAUAGCACGAGAGCCACUCCAUUUGGGAAUUGACAUCAAAAGGACCCCUGGAAUUGGUCCCGGUAUCGCAUUUGCUCAUGAAUUGCUAGUCAAAGUUGGACCAAAUGCUGGCGCUGUGGGUUUAGUUCCAUGUGCUAGAGGUGGCACUUUAAUUGAACAAUGGAUUAAAAAAUCCUAGCAAUCCUAGUGCAACCUUUUACCAAAACUUCAUUGAACGAAUCAAAGCAUCGGAUAAAGAUGGUGGGGUUGUGCGUGCUCUUUUCUGGUUCCAAGGAGAAAGUGAUGCAGCUAUGAAUGACACCGCCAUUAGAUACAAAGACAACCUAAAGAAAUUCUUCACUGACAUUCGUGAUGACAUAAAACCUAGAUUUUUGCCCAUCAUUGUUGUUAAAAUAGCUCUCUACGACUUUUUUAGGCAGCACGAUACUCAUAACCUCCCAGCAGUGAGGGAAGCACAAGAAGCAGUCAGCAAGGAGCUGCCUGACGUAGUGGCCAUCGAUUCGUUGAAAUUACCUAUAAACUAUACAACAAAUGAAGGCAUCAACCUAGAUCAUGGUCAUUUUAACACCACAACCGAAAUUACUUUGGGUAAAUGGUUGGCUGAAACCUACCUCUCCCACUUUGGUCAAUUACUUUAAUUUGUAUUAUUUAUCAACUUUGUUAUUAUAUAUCAAUAAAAUCAUCCAUCCACUCCUUUUUUUUUUUUAAAUCUCCUUCCAAUUGACUCAUAACAUAAUUAAUUAAUUGAAACAAUUUCUUACUCACCUACCUCUACCAGAAUCAUCUUUGCAUGAUUAUCUACACUUUGUUUAGGGGAAAUGUUGGGUUAUGGAAGGGUUAGGGUUAUAAUAAAGGGUUUUUAACUCAUAUAGCUUUUAAUUAAAAAGUAAUUUUAAUAAAUACAUUCACAAUCAAACUUAUUAAACAAUCAUAAAACUCUCAUAACAAUUAAAUUUUUUAAUUUAUUUCAAACCCUAACUUUAACGACUAAUUAUCUAAACUUAUUUAUGUAAAUUUUUUUAGCAACGUUUAUUAAGUCAACUAAAUUGACAAAAUAAAUUUCAUAAAACUGCAAAUUGGAUUUGGAUUUCUCUCACUCACAAAUGACCAUUGUAUUUUUCUAUUUCUCACUAUUCUUUUAAAUUAAAGAUCAAUAACAAACAUAAUUAUUAACUAUAAGUUAUAACAAAGGUUUACUACUCCUAUAUAUCCUAUAUAUCCACAAAGAAAAUUAGUUGUACAUUCAUCCAUUAUACUAAAAGUACCAAAAAAAAUUCUAACACAUCAUGAAUCAUUAAAUUUUCAUAAUGUCAACAAAUCUCAUCCCAAAACAGAGCUCCAAACACACAGCAUUUACCAUCUCUCGUUGAUUGUAAUUCACAAACAAAUUUGCCAAGAAAAUCUCAUUUAACCCCAAAUUGUUAAACGAAACAGAGAGAGAUGAGAGAAAAAAUUUACACGAAGAGAAAGAGGAAAGCGGAGAGGGAAAAGGGAAAGAAGAAAAAGCAGAGGGGAUGGGGAAAGAGGAAACAAAGAGAGAAAGAGGAAAGAGGAAGAAGAAGCAACAGGGAUCGAGGGAAAAUCAAGGGACUAAUACGCAAGCUACGAGAGAGUGAAGGAAAGAGUUAUGGCAGAGAUCGAGGGGAUAAGUGUGAAAGGGAUUUAGAGGUAUUAUGGAAACCCUAGAACUAGAGUUUCUAUAAGUUGGACUCCAAACAAAUUUUAGGGUUAAGUGAUAAACAGAGACCCAAACGCUACUCUCAAGGUGAGAAACAUACUGUUGGGCAAAAUAAACAAAUUCAACAAACAUUUCUCUAUUUAGGUCAAUUAACAAAAUUAUCUUUAACACCAAAAUUUUACAUUAAUUUUCCUCUAUGAUUAUACCUAUCAGAAUCAAAAUGGCUCAAUUGAAUUUAAGUGUUUGUGGACUUCCUACAAUGACACAUUUAUUUAAUUUCAUAAUACACUUGGUUUCUUUAGUUUAAAAAUACCUAUAUUUUUCAUUAACGCCAAUUACAUACACUAAUAAAAUUUUAAAAGUGAAAAAGCAGUUUGUUUCUUUUUUAAAACAUAUAACACCAAUUUCGAAAAUGGAAGAGAGCCAGAGAUCCACACUAUAAAAUAUAGUGAAUAAUUUAAUAUCAUUUUAGAUUUGGAUAUCCAAUAUUCCAACUAUUUUUUCACGACCUUAAACAUCUCAAAUAACAGUUUGAAAUAUUUUUAAUAAAAAAAUAGACAUUUUAUAUUUGGUAGGGUUGUUCACGGUUCAGUUCGAGGCCAAAAUCGCACCGAACCAAAAAGUAAAGAAAUAUCCUUCAAUUCAUAAUAAAAAUCCUAUAUAAACAUUAGCUUACAAAGUUACAAGCAUAGAUUAAAUUAAUUUUGUACAGUAAUUAAGUAUAAGACAUAAAAGUUUCAAACAAUGAAGUUUGAAAGUCCAUCAAAAUAAUUCCUAUAAAGUUGAAUAAAGCGAUUCGGUUCAAUUUUAAAAUAGAAUUAAAUGUCUUAAACUAAAUCGAAUAGCAUAAGAAUCAAUUUCAAUUUAACACAAAUCGAAUCAAAUCGUAUGUAUUCGGUUUUGGUUAUGUUAUGUAGUUAUAGUUCGAUUUGUCAUUUGGUUUGGUUUUCAACUAUUCUUUAACACCACUAAUAUUUGGUACACAAUCUUGAAUUAAAUAACAGUUUUAAAAAAAAAAUUGCAAAAGAAGAAAAAAAACUAUGAAAAAGAAUGGCAGACCUAGAAUAGUUUUUUUUAAAAAUAGUCAUUCUAGGCUUUUCCAUUUAGUUACACGGUCCAUAAAUAUUUUUUUAAUUUAUUAUAUUUAUGAAAAUUAAAUUUUAAUUAUGGCUAAACAUAAAAUAUCUAAUUAAUUAAUUUAAUCUAAUAGAAAUUAAUAAAUCGUAAAAUAGAUGAGGAAAAAAAAUCCAUGACAAACAUUUUUUUUAUCUUUUCUAUUUCUUUUGUUUAAAAACAAAGUCUACUUUCUUUAAAUAUAAUUCAUAGUAAAAAAUUUCAAAACAACAAAUUAAAGUUAUUAUUUUUUUAAAAAAAAUGACCAUAAAUAAAAUAUAGAUAAUAAAAUAAAAAAGUUAUUGAAGAUGGUAGUAGUGUCUAUAUACAACACAAAUUAAGCUUAUAGACACGUAAAUAUUUUUUUUAAGACUUAUAGAAAAAAUAACGAGAAAUGAUUAUUGAAAAUAUUUUAUUUUUCUUAUAUAGAAAAGGGAAAAAUAAAUGCCAUAGCUUUACAAACCUAAUUAAUUUGAGGAGAGUACAUCAACUUUUAAUAUUCAUAUAGAAAUUUACAAAAUUGAGGAAUGUUCGUAUAGAAAUUUACCAAAUUGAGGGUUAAAGCGAAAAACACUCACAAUCCACAAGUAUUCACCUAUAAAAAUGAUAUUUAAAACUUAACCAUACUAAAAAAAGAGUAAAAAAUAGUAUAAAAGGUAGGGUAGUAACAUAGAGAAAGGCAGAGACAAGGAUCAGCCAACCAAACUAAAGGGGGGCAGUAACUAAAGCAAGAGAGUAGUUGUGUCUUUGCAAAUAGACACAACAGGACAAGUUACAUCUGUGUUUAUUUGCAUAGACACAAAUUGGUCACCAUGGUUUUGUUGAGAUUGUCAAUCAUAUUAUGUGUGAUGUUAUAUGGUCCUUCUCUUUCAGGAGCUGCUUCUCCUAAGAACAUAUUCAUCCUCGCAGGUCAAAGUAACAUGGCUGGUCGAGGUGGAGUUGAGAACAAUGCUCAAGGAAAUCUCCAGUGGGAUGGGUUAGUCCCACCAGAAUGUCAACCUCAACCAUCCAUCCUACGAUUGAACCCUGGUCUCCAAUGGGAGAUAGCACGAGAGCCACUCCAUUUGGGAAUUGACAUCAAUAGGACCCCUGGAAUUGGUCCCGGUAUCGCAUUUGCUCAUGAAUUGCUAGUCAAAGCUGGACCAAAUGCUGGCGCUGUGGGUUUAGUUCCAUGUGCUAGAGGUGGCACUUUAAUUGAACAAUGGAUUAAAAAUCCUAGCAAUCCUAGUGCAACCUUUUACCAAAACUUCAUUGAACGAAUCAAAGCAUCAGAUAAAGAUGGUGGGGUUGUGCGUGCUCUUUUCUGGUUCCAAGGAGAAAGUGAUGCAGCUAUGAAUGACACUGCCAUUAGAUACAAAGACAACCUAAAGAAAUUCUUCACUGACAUUCGCGAUGACAUAAAACCUAGAUUUUUGCCCAUCAUUGUUGUUAAAAUAGCUCUCUACGACUUUUUUAGGCAGCACGAUACUCAUAACCUCCCAGCAGUGAGGGAAGCACAAGAAGCAGUCAGCAAGGAGCUGCCUGACGUAGUGGCCAUCGAUUCGUUGAAAUUACCUAUAAACUAUACAACAAAUGAAGGCAUCAACCUAGAUCAUGGUCAUUUUAACACCACAACCGAAAUUACUUUGGGUAAAUGGUUGGCUGAAACCUACCUCUCCCACUUUGGUCAAUUACUUUAAUUUGUAUUAUUUAUCAACUUUGUUUUAUUAUAUAUCAAUAAAAUCAUCCAUCCACUCCUUUUAUUUAAAAUCUCCUUCCAAUUGACUCUCAACAUAAAAUAAUCAAUGGAAAUAAUUUCAUACUCAAAUCUCUAAUGAAUCAUCUUUGCAUCAUUAUCUUCUACACUAACACUUGGGAGAGGCGAAAAAGAGAGUUUGGGGGCAAAAGAAAAAACAAAUUCGACCCAAAAUUUUACAUUAAAUUUUUUUUAUGAUUAUACCUUUCACAAUCAAAAUGGCUCAACUGAAUUUAACUGUUUCCUGACUUCCUACAAUAACACAUUUAUUUAAUUUUUUAAUACUUUUUUCUCAUUUAAAAACAAAUGUAUUUUUCAUUAACGUCAAUCAUAUCACUAAUAAAAUUUAAAAAGGGAAAAGAUCAUUUGUUUCUUGAGGUAUUUUAAAAAAUAUAAAAAAAAAUAUUUACACUAAUUUAAAAACCAUUCACAAUGAAAAUAUUAAAAAAUGCACUUAUUAAUUGACAUCGUUUAAAUUUGGUUAUUUUUUUAAAAAAAAAUUUUUAUAUAAGGUUGUUUAAAAGAAAAAUUGGUAUACACUAUCGUUUAUAUUUAAUGGUUCAAAUUUGGCCACUCAAAUCUAAAGGGUCUUUUUAGAAUCUUUAGUACAUAUAUUUAGAUUUAAUUAUUUUUUUUGGUUUAGAUUUGGUCUAAUGUCCCAACAAUUUUUUUCCAUUAUCUUUUAUAUUUGCACACGAUUUUAAACAACCAAACAAUGGUUUUUAAAAAUAAAAGAAAAUUUAAAAAAAAAAAGAGAAAAAGACUUGAAAAGAAGAAGAAAAAUAGUUUAAGGGAAAGAGAAGUAUUUAAAAAAAAAAAUGAUCAUCCUCAUGAACUUUUCAUUUUGUUCCACAGCCCACAAAUAUUUUGUCGAUUUGGUUGAAAAUUAAAUCUGUUUCUUUUUAAUCAGUGAUAAACAUAACAUAUCUAAUUAAUUAAUUCAAUCUAAUAAAAAGUGAUUGAGAUCAUUCUAAAAUAGUAAAAUGGAUGAAGAAAUAAACGAAGAAAAAAAUGGAUGGAUAGAAGAGAGUAAAGAGAAAGAGAAGAGACGGAGUGCUUGAGAAUGAGAGCGAAUUGGAAACCAUUUUAUCUUUUUGUUUGGCGCUUGCAGAUAUAACAAAAUUAGUUUUAGAAAUUAGACCCAUAAAACACUACUUUUGAAUUUGCAAAAAUGACAAAAUUCAAGUCAGUCCAUAUUUGAAAAAUGUAAAAUUACAAACCUACCCUCUAAAAUUGUAAACAUUUUCACACAUCGUUUGAUAUGUUGUUGAUACACUUGGUGUGUUUUUUAUAUACUUGUUAUGCUUGUUGAUACACUCGAUCAAUUAAAUAACACUUGAUACAUAUAAUUGGUUUGAUACACUUAUAUGUUGUUGAUACAUUUGUUAAACUUUGCAAAUACACUCAAUUAAUUAAAUACAUUGAUGCACUAAGUAUAAUACUUUUGUUGUAUUGUCGAUACAUUUAUUAAAGGGACACUUGCAAAAAUGACAAAAUAAGUUAUAAUAAUUAAAUCCAUAUCACAUAUACUUUAUUAUUUGCAAAAAUGACAAAAACGAAGCCCAAUCCACACAUCAAAAAGUAAAAUGUCACAAAUGUCUUCGUUACUAAUAUACGUUUGAUACACCUUAUACUGAUACACCUAAUACCGUUUGAUACAUCUGAUACUUCUUGAUACACCCGAUACAGUUGAUUGAUAUACUUGAUGCACUUGAUACUUUUUGAUAAACUUGAUACCUUUUAAUAGACACCUGAAACUUAUGUUUGAUACACCUGAUGCACUGCAUAUACAUUUAGUAUUCUUCACUUAUACAAUUGAUUGAUUAAAUGCACUUGAUAUACUUGAAGUCCUACUUAUACACUUGAUAUACUAUUGUUAUACACUUGUAAACUUGGUUCAUAUACUUAAUAAUGAUUUACUUUGCUGAUAUGCUUUAACAAUAUAUUGUUGAUAAACUUGAUAAUGAUACACUAAGUUACAUCAUUCAUAUACUUAAUAAUACUCUAAUAAACUGCAUAAAAUUUAAAAAAUCGAAAAAUCACGUAGUAAGUAUAUUAACCAACUAAUACAUAUAAUAUAAGUAUAUUAGAACACUGAUAUACAAAACUGAGACAAAGUUAAACCAAAACAAAAUUAAUGUAAAAAAAUAAAACAAAAUGAUUUAGAAUCAGAUUCAACUCAAAAUACAUAUGGAAAAAAGUAAAAAAAAAAAUCACAAAUGAAGUUAAAUUACUCUAAUCAACAACUAUUAUAUUUUACAUUGUAAUUGUUGUACUAUUGAUAUUCUAAAAUUAAGACUAAGACAUAAAUAAUAAAUAAUUUUUAUAGUAUAAGAAUAAAAAAAUAAUUAGGGCCUUACAAAGUGAGAGAAUAAAUAAAUAAUGGAUAAGACAUUAAAAAUAGGAAAAUAAAUAAGUUAUUGAAUGGUAGUUUAAAAAUAAUAACAAAUUUAAAAUUGAGAAGUGAGAAGUUUGUUAUAUUUGCAAAAUUCUAAAAUUAUAAUUGCUAUAUUAUAAAAUGUUCAUAUAGAAAUUUCCCAAAUUGAGGGUUAAAAGCGCAAAAUGCUCAUAAUCCACAAGUACUCACCUAUAAAAGUGAUCUUUAAAACUAACCGUACUAAAAAUAGAGUAAAAAAUAGUAUAAAAGGUGGGUAAUAACAUAGAGAAAGGCAGAGGCAAGGAUCAGCCAACCAAACUAAGGGGGGAGUAACUAAAGCAAGAGAGUAGUUGUGUGUCUGUGCAAAUAGACACAAGAGGAAAAGUUAUCCUUUUUUUAAAAACCGUGCACAUUGUUUAUACUUUUCUUCUGUGUUUAUUUGUACAGACACAACAGACACAAAUUGGUCACCAUGGUUUUGUUGAGAUUGUCAAUCAUAUUAUGUGUGAUGUUAUAUGGUCCUUCUCUUUCAGGAGCUGCUUUUCCUCAAGAACAUAUUCAUCCUCGCAGGUCAGAGUAACAUGGCUGGUCGAGGUGGAGUUGAGAACAAUGCUCAAGGAAAUCUCCAAUGGGAUGGGUUAGUCCCACCAGAAUGUCAACCUCAACCAUCCAUCCUACGAUUGAACCCUGGUCUCCAAUGGGAGAUAGCACGAGAGAGCCACUCCAUUUGGGAAUUGACAUCAAAAGGACCCCUGGAAUUGGUCCCGGUAUCGCAUUUGCUCAUGAAUUGCUAGUCAAAGUUGGACCAAAUGCUGGCGCUGUGGGUUUAGUUCCAUGUGCUAGAGGUGGCACUUUAAUUGAACAAUGGAUUAAAAAUCCUAGCAAUCCUAGUGCAACCUUUUACCAAAACUUUCAUUGAACGAAUCAAAGCAUCGGAUAAAGAUGGUGGGGUUGUGCGUGCUCUUUUCUGGUUCCAAGGAGAAAAGUGAUGCAGCUAUGAAUGACACUGCCAUUAGAUACAAAGACAACCUAAAAGAAAUUCUUCACUGACAUUCGCGAUGACAUAAAAACCUAGAUUUUUGCCUAUCAUUGUUGUUAAAAUAGCUCUCUACGACUUUUUUUAGGCAGCACGAUACUCAUAACCUCCCAGCAGUGAGGGAAGCAAAAGAAGCAGUCAGCAAGGAGCUGCCUGACGUAGUGGCCAUCGAUUCGUUGAAAUUACCUAUAAACUAUACAACAAAUGAAGGCAUCAACCUAGAUCAUGGUCAUUUUUAACACCACAACCGAAAUUACUUUGGGUAAAUGGUUGGCUGAAACCUACCUCUCCCACUUUGGUCAAUUACUUUAAUUUGUAUUAUUUAUCAACUUUGUUAUUAUAUAUCAAUAAAAUCAUCCAUCCACUCCUUUCUUAAAAAAAAAUCUCCUUCCUAUUGACUCUCAACGUAAUCAAUUGAUUGAAAUAAUUUCUUACUCACAUCUCUAAUCAAUCGUCUUUGCAUCAUUUAUGUAUA